AUUGAACGCUGGCGGCAGGCUUAACACAUGCAAGUCGAACGAGCGGCGGACGGGUGAGUAAUUUCUGAGAAACUGCCUGAUGGAGGGGGAUAACUACUGGAAACGGUAGCUAAUACCGCAUACCCUCAGAUGUGCCCAGAUGGGAUUAGCUAGUAGGUGGGGUAAUGGCUCACCUAGGCGACGAUCCCUAGCUGGUCUGAGAGGAUGACCGGCCACACUGGAACGUAGACAAGGUCCAUACUCCUACGGGAGGGAGGAGUGGGGAAUAUUGCACAAUGGGCGCAAGCCUGAUGCAUACAGGCCGCGUGUAUGAAGAAGGCCUUCGGGUUGUAAAGGACUUUCAGCGAGGAUGCGUUACUCGCAGAAGAAGCACCGGCUAACUCCGUGCCAGCCGCCGCGGUAAUAC
rnacentral:rRNA from 1 species